rnacentral:lncRNA from 1 species
UAUUUUAUUUUUUAUUUGUUGUAGAAAUGGAGUCUCACUGUGUUUCCCAGACUGGUCUUGAACUCUUGACUUCAAGCAAUCCUCCUGCCUCAGCCUCCCAAAGUGGCUGGAUUACAGGUGCAAGCCAUGCCUGGCUGACAUCUGGACGUUUUAAAACAGACUUCUGAAAACCACACAGGUCAAAAAAGAAAUUAUUACCCUAGAGAAACUGAUAUCUGAACAGUAAUGAAAAAUUUUAUAUCAAAAUGUGGGAUGCAGCUAAAGAAACACAUCAAGGUAAAUGGAGAGUUUAAGUGCCUGUAUUAAAGAGGAAGAGAUUGAACAUGAGCUAUGCAUGAAACUCAAAAAAAGAAUGAACUCAAAGAAGUCACAUCCUAUCAAAGGAGAAAAAGAGGAGAUACAGAAGAAACAUUAGGAAGACGGAGGGAAACAACAAUGCCCUCAGAACCAACGUGUGAACCCCGGAGAAGUGGAGUCGCAUUGCUUUAGAGAAUCCCCCCUGAAGGUCUGAGCACCUGCCCGACAUUGGCCCUGAAAAGCCGCGCCAUGGCCCAUGCUUGUCGCCUCCCGGCACUCCCGCGUUGAGCUGGGACACAGGAGACUUUGAGUGUGGAAGACAGCGAAUCCUGACACUAGGACUUUGCGGUUUGAUUUCUUCCUGUGCAAGGAUCUUCAAUUGUUUUAUUAAGUUCCAUGGUCAAGUCUUAGACCAAGGCUGCAACCAAGUGUCUCCAACCAGGCUUCAGGUGUAGAUUUUACAGAGAGCAGGACGAUUCUCUAUCAUCCACCCCACUGCCUGGGCCUUGCUGCAUGGGACCAAGGACGGGCUCCUGACGGUGGAAAGACGGCCCGUGGUGGGACAGGGACAGCGCAGCUCACUGAAGAGGAGGACAGCACAGCUUACUGAAGAGGAGGAGGACAGCGCAGCUCACUGAAGAGAAGGAGGACAGCGCAGCUCACUGAAAAGGAGGAGGACAGCACAGCUCACUGAAGAGGAGGAGGACAGCGCAGCUCACUGAAGAGGAGGACAUGGAGGCAGGUGGGCAGAGCUGAAGCCUGGCUUGUUGAG